UAUAUGGCAGUAUGUUGGGUUAUUCCAUGGAAAGGUUUUACAGCAUGCUUUGAAGGUGAAAAUGAAGCCUACCUAGUCUGCAGAUAAAGACAACACAGUAAAGACUGAAAAGGACAUGUGAGCUCAUCUUUUUACAGAAGCUUUCAACAGCAUAGCAAGCCUCUCAGCCUUAGUGAGAGCACCAUGCAGGUGUGCCACUCAAGAUGUAUUUUAAUAAGAAACAUCACACUCCUGAGCAGCUUUGCAGCCAUACUGCAAGUGCCUUCAGUUGUCAUCCCUAAUCACUGCUGGUUUAAUUAUAUACUGUUAAACAAUAGUACACAUAUGCAGUGCUUUGCCAGGUGCCAGAUUGUCUACCAGAGACUGAAGUCUUCAGUCAAGGGGAUCAGAUAUCAUCCAUUUCCCUUGUUACAGAAUGAAGAAUCACAGCUCCAUCCAGUAAGAGUUGCCUGAUUUGCUUUAGACAACUCCAUCUACCUGGCAUCAAUGUCACGGAUUAUGAGUGUCCCCAAAUUGCACAUAAGAAGGAAAGCAAACUCUGCAUCUAGCACCAGGAAUGACUGAACUCCUGCAUACAGUCUGAUGCCAAAGAAAGUCAAUCAAAUUAAAAUUGGCUUCACUGAUGCUGCCACAUAGGCCACAGUCCAAAUUUCACCACUCUGUAAAUGACGAUCAGGACAAACUCAUUAAAAUAGAACAGAAAUGGCACCUGGAACAACUUGAUUCUGUGAGAUGAACAGUCACUACUACAAGUGGUGAUCAGAGAGGAAAAAAAAAGAGAAAAGACAGACACACACAAAAAGCAAUUCCACUACAGAUAUCAUACCAGAGUUAUAGGACAGUCUGCAUCUCUUUUCCUGAUCUCUUGCAGGGUUAUGUGAACCUCUAAUCUUAACUGCCUCUAAAGGCCCUUUUGUCAUUUAUUUGCAUUUCUUGCUAUAGCCCUUCUAACAACUUUUGUUCUUAAGGGUUUUCUUGGAGAGCAGAAGGAAAGAGGAA